rnacentral:rRNA from 1 species
UACGUAGGUGGCAAGCGUUAUCCGGAAUUAUUGGGCGUAAAGAGCGCGCAGGUGGUUGAUUAAGUCUGAUGUGAAAGCCCACGGCUUAACCGUGGAGGGUCAUUGGAAACUGAGGGACUUGAGUACAGAAGAGGAGAGUGGAAUUCCACGUGUAGCGGUGAAAUGCGUAGAGAUUAGGAAGAACACCAGUGGCGAAGGCGAUUCUCUGGACUGUAACUGACGCUGAGGCUCGAAAGCGUGGGGAGCAAACAGGAUUAGAUACCCU